rnacentral:misc_RNA from 1 species
AACCCACUCAAGCCUGGCUUGGUAUUGGAUGUCGAGGUCCCCUCGCGUCUCCAUUUCGCCGGCUGGCCGUCGUUUGACUUAGCGUUGUGACACAUGUCGUUAACGAAAACGCGGACUGCGCCGUUAGAAUUCUCUUGGACGUCAAUUGACGUCCAGUAAA